rnacentral:lncRNA from 1 species
UUGGUUUUGAGCUUGGCUCGGGCCCCAAUCACGGGUCGAACACCUAGCUUCUUGCUCAAAUCGAUAACCACAUCGAGCUCUUCCUCUUGCUCAAGAACAAUCACUGUGUUUAAGGCGAGCUUGCGAGCAAACAGAGCCAGAGAGAUGUACUCGAAGUCUUUGAAUCCAUUGCAGAUGAGAAGGGCUUCUGGGUUACCUUUGCACAAGCAGCUCAUGGCCAAGAGAAGCUCCGGCUUCGACCCAGCUUCCAAU